GAUGAACGCUGGCGGCGUGCCUAAUACAUGCAAGUCGAGCGAAUGGAUUAAGAGCUUGCUCUUAUGAAGUUAGCGGCGGACGGGUGAGUAACACGUGGGUAACCUGCCCAUAAGACUGGGAUAACUCCGGGAAACCGGGGCUAAUACCGGAUAACAUUUUGAACCGCAUGGUUCGAAAUUGAAAGGCGGCUUCGGCUGUCACUUAUGGAUGGACCCGCGUCGCAUUAGCUAGUUGGUGAGGUAACGGCUCACCAAGGCAACGAUGCGUAGCCGAGCGGAGAGGGUGAUCGGCCACACUGGGACUGAGACACGUCCCAGACUCCUACGGGAGGCAGCAGUAGGGAAUCUUCCGCAAUGGACGAAAGUCUGACGGAGCAACGCCGCGUGAGUGAUGAAGGCUUUCGUGUCGUAAAACUCUGUUGUUAGGGAAGAACAAGUGCUAGUUGAAUAAGCUGGCACCUUGACGGUACCUAACCAGAAAGCCACGGCUAACUACGUGCCAGCCGCCGCGGUAA
rnacentral:rRNA from 1 species